rnacentral:rRNA from 1 species
AGUAACACGUAAGCAACCUGCCUAUCAGAGGGGAACAACAGUUAGAAAUGACUGCUAAUACCGCAUAUGCCUUAGUAUCGCAUGGUACAAAAGGGAAAGGAGCAAUCCGCUGAUAGAUGGGCUUGCGUCUGAUUAGCUAGUUGGUGGGGUAAAGGCCUACCAAGGCGACGAUCAGUAGCCGGACUGAGAGGUUGAACGGCCACAUUGGGACUGAGACACGGCCCAAACUCCUACGGGAGGCAGCAG